rnacentral:rRNA from 1 species
GACGAACGCUGGCGGCGUGCUUAACACAUGCAAGUCGAACGGAAAGGCCUCUUCGGAGGUACUCGAGUGGCGAACGGGUGAGUAACACGUGGGUGAUCUGCCCUGCACUCUGGGAUAAGCCUGGGAAACUGGGUCUAAUACCGGAUAGGACCGCACUUUAGUGUGUGUGGUGGAAAGUUUUUUCGGUGUAGGAUGAGCCCGCGGCCUAUCAGCUUGUUGGUGGGGUAAUGGCCUACCAAGGCGGCGACGGGUAGCCGGACUGAGAGGUUGGUCGGCCACAUUGGGACUGAGAUACGGCCCAGACUCCUACGGGAGGCAGCAGUGGGGAAUAUUGCACAAUGGGCGCAAGCCUGAUGCAGCGACGCCGCGUGGGGGAUGACGGCCUUCGGGUUGUAAACUCCUUUCGCCAGGGACGAAGCGUUUUGUGACGGUACCUGGAGAAGAAGCACCGGCUAACUACGUG